UCGAAUCUUUCUUAAUUGUUUUAUCUUCUUUCCUUUUACUCCUCAUCUCUUCAUUUCCACAUCUCUUGCACGCGCACUGGGGCGGCGGCGGCGACUGCGCGGUGGGCGGCGGCGACUGCGCGGCGGGGGCGACAGUGGACGCGCCAGCGGCGGCCAUGACUCCCCGCAUCGGCACCGGCGACGGCCACGACUCCCCGUACCGUCUUCACCCCGCAUCGGCGCCAGCGGCAGCCAGGACUCCCCGCCCUGUCUUCAUCCCGCAUCGGCGCCGGCGGCGGUCCCACCCUAUCUCCCUACCGCAUUGGCGCCGCCCUUGAUUUCCCAUCCUAUCACCCUCCUGCAUCGGCGCGGCCUCCGCGCGAGGAAUAGCCACCGACCGGCAGGGUGGGUCUGCGCACAACAGGCCGCAAUAGGCGGCGGUGGCGGCCCAAAUUCGAAUUAGGUUCGUUCUUGUUUCCUUGGUAAAAUUCGCUGUCUAAUUUGUGCUUCUGUUUGAACUUAUUAUACUAUAAAUUUUUGCUUCUGUUCGAUCUUAUUAUACUCACUGUUAGGAAGGAAUUAGCAACAGGGGAAAAAACCUUUCAGCAUAAUGGAACUAUUUCUUAUUUUUCUGAACCUCGCAUGCAGGACCCUAUCCUGUCAAAAGUGUCAAUGUUGUCAUUUCCUUUACACACAGUCCAUUCCUAUUAGACCUGCUUGUCACGAACAUGCCAGCAAUAAUCAUAUUCCAAAGAUACCUUGGGUAGCUUAGUUUACCUACCUUUUCUUUGCUGAAAAGGUUACCGGCAUUUAUUUCUCAGAAGAAAAAUUGAUUUAGAGCAGAAUUGGUUUAACAACUAGGUUAGUCGUUUCAUUAUUGCUUUUGGUGAUCUUAAGUAUCAUCUUCGUACAUGGGGAGGAAAUAUGAAAGUAACCCUGCGUAACUUUUUACUUUUAGUGGCCUAUUUAUAUGUAGAUAAUUGAAAAACAACCUAACAAGAAUCAUAAGGGACUAGUUGAUGAAAAGUUUUUCGCAAAUUAUGUCAUCCCCCUUAACUCGAAUGAAACUCUUGCAAAUGAGGCUGUCGUACAGAAACUGAUCUGAAACUAGUUUGUGCGAGGCUGCAUGGAGUAGUAUUUAAAUCCUAGUAGUGUUAUUUAGUUUUGAAAACCCUGUACAGAACCGUCUUCAAUUUUGUUUGAUGAUGCACCACCAUUUACAUCUGUGUAUUUUUUUCUUCUGUUAUUUUGCAUGUCCUUUCCUUCCGUUUCUGAAAUGUUCUAAGCAGCAGUGUAUUUGGUUGAUUAAAUUUGCAGUGUAGUUGCUCGUUUUCCUUUUUCUUUUUCUUUUUGACUAAACAGGAGGGGAGGCUCGGUGCAGUCGCUGAUCUCAAGGUAGCACAGCAAUUCCUUGAAAAGAAAAGGAGUCUACCUAUCAGGGAGAUGCAACAGUUUUUCUUCGCAUUAUAGCAGCUGCAAGCCUCAACCAAUGGUGUUUCUUUUCGCAUAAAAGCGUGUAGGUCUCCUCGGCAAUGCUAGCUGGAGAGAUUAACAUCAGGCCAAUGUGAAUACUAUCCAUGUCACAAUUUUCACAUCCAGUACGCUACGGGGUGCUCAAGCAUCGGCUCAGUAACUUCUUCAGGCACGCUGCAGUACCGAAGCCGGCGGCUGCUGACAGUUGUCAGGUCUCCAUUUUUGUCAUAACUCGCUGAAAACGUCGUCAACCGGAUAAAGCGCUUCCGAUGAUCUUUCUUCUCGGUCACCUCAUCAACAGAGUCCUCAAUCUUUUCACCAUCAGAACCAGUCUGCUCAUCAGCUUGGAUGUAGACGCACUCCAGGAGGCAGAAUUUUCCUUCACCCAUGCGGACAAGGGUGGCGCCUA